UUCAUGUUCAACCUUUUCCACAGCCCCCUUUUUCUGUUCUUCUAGCGCAGCAAUCUGAGUAUAACGAAACUUCCUUCUAGGUGGCUCAUCAGAAACAUCCUCAGCAGAAGAAGAAUUCGCAACCGGAGUCCAACGACGAAGAAGUAAACGAGAUUUCUCGUUACUAUUAUCCUUAUUAUUUUUCUUGUUGUUGUUAAACGAAGAAGGUGAAACAUGAACCCAUUUCUUCUCCCAUUUACGAACAGGACCAUUGAACACUGCAGGUGCACCGUAGCGUGAAGAUGCUCUACCCAACCUCGUAGAACCCACUGUCUCCAUUGUGUUGUUGUCGGUGAAAUUGAAUGGAACAGAACAACAAAAUUGUAGCGUCUUCACUUUCUAUAUGUCUCUCUGUUUGUGAGUUUGACACGACAACAAAGAAGUACAAGUGAGAAAGCGACAAGUAAAAUGUUCCUUGUUCAACAAGAGUGAAUCAGUGUCGUCAAUUUAUUCAAGUCAAGUCAAGGUCCCUUCAUGAUCGAUGGACUAAAGCAGAAGGGAGAAAAAGAAAAGAGAUGAAAGAUAAAAU
rnacentral:lncRNA from 1 species